UAGGGAAUCUUCCACAAUGGACGCAAGUCUGAUGGAGCAACGCCGCGUGAGUGAAGAAGGUUUUCGGACCGUAAAGCUCUGUUGUUGGUGAAGAAGGAUAGAGGUAGUAACUGGCCUUUAUUUGACGGUAAUCAACCAGAAAGUCACGGCUAACUACGUGCCAGCAGCCGCGGUAAUACGUAGGUGGCAAGCGUUGUCCGGAUUUAUUGGGCGUAAAGCGAGCGCAGGCGGAAGAAUAAGUCUGAUGUGAAAGCCCUCGGCUUAACCGAGGAAUUGCAUCGGAAACUGUUUUCUUGAGUGCAGAAGAGGAGAGUAGAACUCCAUGUGUAGCGGUGGAAUGCGUAGAUAUAUGGAAGAAUACCAGUGGCGAAGGCGGCUCUCUGGUCUGCAACUGACGCUGAGGCUCGAAAGCAUGGGUAGCGAACAGGAUUAGAUACCCUGGUAGUCCAUGCCGUAAACGAUGAGUGCUAAGUGUUGGGAGGCUUCCGCCUCUCAGU
rnacentral:rRNA from 1 species